CUAAGGACUUCAUCACAACAUAAGAGUUCAAAUAAGAUGGAUAAAAUAUGAUGAAAAAAAUCAAAUAAUUUUUAUUAAUAAAACCUCAUAUAUAUUUUAUAAAUAUGAGCACAAUCGUCAAUAGGCUGACGAUUGGCUUUGGAACAUAAUUUCCAACACCACGUAUAAUAUGAGGAAUGUAAUAGCACUUCCAUUAACCUUUUUGUACACACAC
rnacentral:lncRNA from 1 species